rnacentral:rRNA from 1 species
UACCAGCUCUCCGAGUGGUGUGGAUGUUUAUUGGGCCUAAAGCAUCCGUAGCUGGCUGGACAAGUCCCCUGUUAAAUCCACCGAUUUAAUCGUUGGUGUGCGGGGGAUACUGUUCGGCUAGGGGACGGGAGAGGCCGACGGUAUUUCCGGGGUAGGGGUGAAAUCCUAUAAUCCCGGGAAGACCACCAGUGGCGAAGGCUGUCGGCUAGAACGCGCCCGACGGUGAGGGAUGAAAGCUGGGGGAGCGGACCGGAUUAGAUACCCGGGUAGUCCCAGCUGUAAACGAUGCAGGCUAGGUGUUUGGGCGGCCACGUGCCGCUCUAGUGCCGCAAGGAAGCUGUUAAGCCUGCCGCCUGGGGAGUACGGCCGCAAGGCUGAAACUUAAAGGAAUUGGCGGGGGAGCACCACAAGGGGUGAAGCUUGCGGUUU